rnacentral:rRNA from 1 species
UCCGUAGGACCUGCGGAGGGAUCAUUACCGGUACUCCCAACCCCUGUGACAUACCACUUGUUGCCUCGGCGGAUCAGCCCGCUCCCGGUAAAACGGGACGGCCCGCCAGAGGACCCCUAAACUCUGUUUCUAUAUGUAACUUCUGAGUAAAACCAUAAAUAAAUCAAAACUUUCAACAACGGAUCUCUUGGUUCUGGCAUCGAUGAAGAACGCAGCAAAAUGCGAUAAGUAAUGUGAAUUGCAGAAUUCAGUGAAUCAUCGAAUCUUUGAACGCACAUUGCGCCCGCCAGUAUUCUGGCGGGCAUGCCUGUUCGAGCGUCAUUUCAACCCUCAAGCCCUCGGGUUUGGUGUUGGGGAUCGGCGAGCCCUUGCGGCAAGCCGGCCCCGAAAUCUAGUGGCGGUCUCGCUGCAGCCUCCAUUGCGUAGUAGUAAAACCCUCGCAACUGGAACGCGGCGCGGCCAAGCCGUUAAACCCCCAACUUCUGAAUGUGACCUCGGAUCAGUAGAUACCCGCUGAACUUAAGCAUAUCAAUAAGCCGGAGGAA